GUCCCAUUCCCUUCAGAACCCACCAAUCAAACAGCACAGUUCUUCAGUGUCCAUAAACACCCAGUACUUAGUCUCGUGAUGAGAGCACUCCAUUCUAACAACUGGUCAUGUUACUUCAUGGGCCUUCCCUCCUUAAGAAGAACAGGAACUGUAAGAAGGUAUGAUAGUUACGGGUCCCUUUCCGAUGCCGCUUCUCAUCAUCUUCUACCUUCCACAUUAAGCACCACUGAUUGCAAUACUUGAUGAGAGUUUUCUUCCUCAAGGUGCCUCCAGGUUCCCCUGCAGUAUCCCACCAGUGUGCCAGUGCACAUCCCAACGGGGUUUCUUUGGGAAUUUCCUUCCCCUGGGAGCCUCCCACGAUGUUGACCAAAUUCUUCUUGAUUCCUAAUUUCCUCAGAGUUUCCACAGGCAACCCUGGACACCGCCUACUGAUCUUGUUCAGAUGUGAACACUUGGAUCUCACAGAUCUCACAGAAGCCUGUCCACCUGCCUUGACACGCUUCCCCGCAAUCAGAAGGCAGUCCUACACAAACAGGCUGACACUCAUUCUCUGCAAGGAACGCAUCUCACUCACACCACACUCACUCUGAUCUUUAGAACAAAAGCCAUGGUUUCGACGUAAUCCACAAGGCUGACGACGUCUUUUAGCUGGCAUCUUCAUAAGGCUAGUACAUUAGUCAGUAAGCUUUCAGGUUUCUCUGAAAGUCAGCUGGACCUGAAAUGAUUAGAUACACGGUACGGAACACUCAGCAGAUGGUGAUAACAAUCACACAACCUAGAACUCCCACUACUAUCUCCAGGAGAAUGCCCGUUAUCAUUUGACAAAAUCCCCACUGUUACCAAUCACCGAAGGCAGCUGUGGUCUUUGCAGACAGCCACAUCCACGGGGAUUGGAGGCUUCUGAACCGGAACCUUGUCUUUCCCGUCUCGUGCCCGCUAAGUCACGUUGUUUGAAAGCAGCACCUUCGCGGCAACCUUGAUUUCUGCAGCCUUCUCCGAGCUUUGUGCCACGAGAGCUGUGCCGCUUCUACCUGUGACAUGAGAGCAUAUGGAAGGCCCUGCAAGAAGUCUGGUGAUAACCGUGGAAGCAUACAAGCAUUACCCAGACAAAAUGGGCGUUUGUCACCUGGGCUUUCUACCAAUGCCAUAGGCAGGAGAAGUCAGCAUGGGAAGCAUCCGUGAGAGCCCUGCAAAAGACUGGUGAAAGAGAUGGCUGCUCUAAGCCGCCCUUGAAGGGCGCAAAGAAGGACCCUAGUGUGGAUUUGCCAUAGGCCCAGCAAGAGGCUCAACAGCACCGAGCGCCGUGUCGUGCACUUUGGUCAUGCCAACCCCAUGCCAGCUUCUCCAGGAUUUGGCUGAGAUAGAAUUCCAACCACCAUCGGAUUUCUCGAACGCUGGGGUGCCCUUUUGGAAUCCUAUGGUCUUGUGACGUGGUCUUGCCUCCCCACCUUGCCCAUCCAUGGUGGAGCAGCCGGGUGGCCCUUAGUGAUGUCACAAGCGGCUAGAAUGAGGGGAGGAGCAGCGCGUGCUGCUUCCCUUCAUUGGAGCGCUUGAGCUCAGCGUGAGUACGUGGCUUGUUGCACUUGUGCAUCGAGUGAGUCUGUUCGUCUUCAGCCCGUCUUGCGCAGCGUCUUGUAGGUAAGCUGAGCCGGUGCGGGAUAGACGGGUGGGCAGCGAGGGCUUGAGAAGUGCUGGCUGGCGGAGCUCCUAGGAUCAUAUUGCUUAGUCUGGACCGUCAGACGCCAUUUUCCCGCAGGCCAUCCAU